AGCGAACGCUGGCGGCAGGCUUAACACAUGCAAGUCGAACGGGCGUAGCAAUACGUCAGUGGCAGACGGGUGAGUAACGCGUGGGAACGUACCUUUUGGUCGGAACAACCCAGGGAAACUUGGGCUAAUACCGGAUAAGCCCUUACGGGGAAAGAUUUAUCGCCGAAAGAUCGGCCCGCGUCUGAUUAGCUAGUUGGUGUGGUAACGGCGCACCAAGGCGACGAUCAGUAGCUGGUCUGAGAGGAUGAUCAGCCACAUUGGGACUGAGACACGGCCCAAACUCCUACGGGAGGCAGCAGUGGGGAAUAUUGGACAAUGGGCGCAAGCCUGAUCCAGCCAUGCCGCGUGAGUGAUGAA
rnacentral:rRNA from 1 species